UACGGAGGGUGCAAGCGUUACUCGGAAUCACUGGGCGUAAAGGACGCGUAGGCGGGUUGGUAAGUCAGGUGUGAAAUCCUACAGCUUAACUGUAGAACUGCACUUGAAACUACUAACCUAGAGUAUGGGAGGGGGAGAUGGAAUUAGUGGUGUAGGGGUAAAAUCCGUAGAUAUCACUAGGAAUACCGAAAGCGAAGGCGAUCUCCUGGAACAUUACUGACGCUGAGGCGUGAAAGCGUGGGGAGCAAACAGGAUUAGAUACCCUGGUAGUCCACGCCCUAAACGAUGAAUGCUAGUCGUCGGAAAGCUCGUCUUUUCGGUGAUGCAGUUAACACAUUAAGCAUUCCGCCUGGGGAGUACGGUCGCAAGAUUAAAACUCAAAGGAAUAGACGGGGACCCGCACAAGUGGUGGAGCAUGUGGUUUAAUUCGAAGAUACGCGAAGAACCUUACCUGGCCUUGACAUUGAUAGAAUCCGGCAGAGAUGCUGGAGUGCCUUUCGGGGAACUUGAAAACAGGUGCUGCACGGCUGUCGUCAGCUCGUGUCGUGAGAUGUUGGGUUAAGUCCCGCAACGAGCGCAACCCUCGUCCUUAGUUGCCAGCAGGUUAAGCUGGGCACUCUAGGGAGACUGCCUUCGCAAGGAGGAGGAAGGUGAGGACGACGUCAAGUCAUCAUGGCCCUUACGGCCAGGGCUACACACGUGCUACAAUGGGGCGUACAGAGAGUUGCGAUACCGCGAGGUGGAGCCAAUCUCAUAAAGCGUCUCUCAGUUCGGAUUGUUCUCUGCAACUCGAGAACAUGAAGCUGGAAUCACUAGUAAUCGUAGAUCAGCAACGCUACGGUGAAUACGUUCCCGGGUC
rnacentral:rRNA from 1 species